CCAAUAUUUCGUACGAAGUAUUUUUCUCGGGAGAAAAGAGAACGAAAAGAAUGGGCGAAGCUUCGGAGACGACGAUGCAGCAGCAGAAGAAGAAGAAGAAGGGACGCCCAUCUCUCUUGGAUCUCCAAAAACGCUCUCUCAAACAACAACAGCAGCAAGAAGACCCUAACUCUUUCAAUUUAAUCUCUAUUCCUACCCGUCGCUCCAUUCGACGGAACCCUUUCCCUGACCUGCCGGAGUGCUUUUCCGGCGAAGACGACGAACGCAAAGAGAAGAAGCACAAGCUCCUAAAUGGUCUCGAUCCCCAUCCGUAUUACCCGACAUUGUCGCCCAAUUCCUCGACAUUUGACUUAAAUCCGGACGGAUCUUAUUCGAAUGCGAAUAUCGAGGAUACUGAGGCGGCCCUCAAGAGGCGCAAGAUCAGUGUCUUCAAUCACGGGUCUGACGCAGUGGAUGAAAAGGUUUCGAAAGAGACAGACUCCCUACACGGGUCGCAGGUGGACUCCGGUCCCACGACACCUUUGCCAGACAAAAAGUUGUUGGUGUUCAUCCUUGACAGGCUUCAAAAAAAGGACACUCAUGGGGUAUUCUCGGAGCCCGUGGACCCGGAACAGCUUCCCGAUUACCAUGACAUCAUUGAGAAUCCAAUGGAUUUUGAAACCGUGAGGAAGAAAGUAGAUGGGGGAGCUUAUGCCAACUUGGAACAGUUUGAGAAAGAUGUGUUUCUUAUAUGUAAAAAUGCAAUGCAGUACAAUGCACCAGAUACCAUUUUUUUUAGACAGGCACGGUCUAUGCAAGAGUUGGCAAAAAAGGACUUCGAAAACUUGAGGCAGGAUAGUGAUAAUGAUGAGCCACAGCCCAAAGUUGUGCAGAGAGGCAGGCCUCCAGGCAAGAACCUGAGGAAGUCCCCUGGUAGCUCUCCUUCUGAGCAUGUUUGUCCUGGGCCAGCCUUGGAUGCAACUCUUGUUUCUGGAGGAGGUAAUGCAAGGGGUUCCGGUGCUUACAAUCUAGGAAAAGGACUUACUCCACCUGCUCAAUUGGUCAGGACUUCCCAUUGGCCUAAAAACAGUGAAACUUGUACUAGUUGGUGGUCUGAGUGGGAGAAUGAAUUUCCAGCUUCUGUUUUGAAGUAUGUUUUGAAGUAUGGGAAGAAGCAAUUUGCUCUGGAUGAGAAUAGGCGUGACACCUAUAAGCAUGCCUUGGACUCUUGCCGUGGGCCAUCUGUCUGGGCCGCACUGGAUGGGGAAUUGAAGCAACUAGUGGAGGUAAGUCUGCACUUGGAGCAUGGUUAUGCGAGAAGCCUAGCUCAAUUUGCUGCUGACCUUGGGCCCGUAGUUUGGAAGGUUGCUUCAAAGAAAAUUGAUAGAUUUUUGCCAAGGGGACUCGAAUUUGGUCCUGGAUGGACCGGAGAAAAUGAGGUGUUAAUGCAGGAGCAAUCUUUAUUUACUGAGGUGAGAUCUUUUGAGAGCUCAAUACCGGAUGAUUGUAAAAGCAAGCUUCUAUAUCACAGGAUAUCCGAAUCAAACACUGCUUAUACAAAUGGAUUCUUGUUGCAAGGUCAAGAAGACCUCGAAAGAACAGGAUUGGAUUCUUAAUGUGAGUUGACUUCCCUAAACAUAUUGGUGGAAUAAAACCCAUGCCUCCUCGGAAUAAGCAGAAAUGCAUAGUCUGCUCUCAUAUGAAUGGUUUAAAUGGUGGUUUUGGGUCGGAUUGAUUUUUUAAAGUCACAUAUCAGGACGGUAAGACUUGCCCGAUUAACUGAAAUGUCAGGUUCCGAUAAUACGUUAUGUCUUCUAAGAUGUUUGACUAAAUACAAGUAGUAACACUACUUCCUGCCAAAUGCCUAUAAAUUAUUCUGAAUCAAGUGAAGCCUGGUUUUCUGAAAUUGCAACACACUGUGGACUUAAGUGACAUGGAAUAUCAGCAGUGAUCCUUGGUGGGGGAGGCAUAUUUGCAGACAUUGUUAUUCAUUUCCUCCUGAUGUAAAUGUGAGAUUUCAGCAAACGAGUUCACCUAGUUCUAAUGUUCAGAUUGGUUCAUCUCAGCAGCAGGAUUCAACAUUGCAGCUCUGACAGCAAUGGGAGUGGAUCAUCUUGUGUUGUGGACCAAGGUGGGUUUUGAGUGGCAAAGAGCAGAGACGAAUUUGUAAUGGUACGAUCAAUUAUAUUCUGAGAGAUUUCCAUUUAUCUAAGAGUAAGUUGCUUUGUUGUAAGUAUCUGCAAUUCUGGAGAUGGAGUUGGCUCUCAAGUUUAUUAGAGCCGAAUAUCUUUGGAACCUGUAUAACUACUGAAAUUGCUGGUGCAAUAGAAGAGCCGAUCCAUUCGAGUGCAUAAUCAAUGUGGUUUUCUGGACUGAAGUACAUUAAAGGCCACGAGAAGGGCCAGGCCCAAAGAGCAAAGAGGGAAGUGGAACUGUGUUAAAAAGGACUGAAGUACAUUAAAGGCCACUGGGAGUCGGGGACCAACUACAAUGGGUCAGGCCCAAAGAGCAAUUGUUGAACUGUGUGUCGAAAAGGCCUGUCUCUUUAACAAGUAAAGACAGAACUACUAGUCACACAUUGUAGUUGGGCGACAACGAGUCCCACAUGGUUUAGUUACUUCUGCGUAGUCGUCUUUUUAAUACAGAAGGAAGCAAUAGAUGAAUGUCCCUUCGGGGACAUCCGAUAAAAUUGGAACGAUACAGAGAAGAUUAGCAUGGCCCCUGCGCAAGGAUGACACGCACAAAUCGAGAAAUGGUCCAAAUUUUU